AUUGAACGCUGGCGGCAGGCCUAACACAUGCAAGUCGAGCGGGAACUUCGGUUCUAGCGGCGGACGGGUGAGUAAUGCGUAGGAAGCUACCCGACAGAGGGGGAUACCAGUUGGAAACGACUGUUAAUACCGCAUAAUGUCUACGGACCAAAGUGUGGGACCUUCGGGCCACAUGCUGUCGGAUGCGCCUACGUUGGAUUAGCUAGUUGGUGAGGUAAUGGCUCACCAAGGCGACGAUCCCUAGCUGGUUUGAGAGGAUGAUCAGCCACACUGGAACUGCGACACGGUCCAGACUCCUACGGGAGGCAGCAGUGGGGAAUAUUGGACAAUGGGCGAAAGCCUGAUUCGGCCAUGCCGCGUGUGUGAAGAAGGCCUUCGGGUUGUAAAGCACUUUCAGUAGGGAGGAAGAGUUGAGUGUUAAUAGUACUCAGCUUUGACGUUACCUACAGAAGAAGCACCGGCUAACUCUGUGCCAGCCGCCGCCGUAACAC
rnacentral:rRNA from 1 species